GGAAGUGAGAGCUUGUCUGUGUAAGUGGACACCCCAGUGAACAUACAUACAUAUUUUCACUUUUAUCAUACAGAUAACUAGCUGUGCCCAGCCACGCGUUGCUGUGGCGAAGUAUGGUGGUAUGGGAAAUAAAGUAUUGAGGAAUUGGUGGUGGUUAAGGUAAAGGGUCAAGGUUUACCCCUGACAUUAAGUCCAUUAUAAACGGGUUAUAUAGCUGUGUGGAAGGGCCUUGAGUCUACACUGCCAUAUAAUCCAGUUCAAAUCUGAUAAUCUGUAUUUUAUAGGCCUAAGUGAGGCCUAACUCUGCCUGUCCCCUGGACUGAGUGGGUUGCUAGGAGACCAAGUGGGUGGAGCUUAGCCUUCUAACUGGCAGCAAUUGGAUAAAAACAAUUAUUCCUCUAAUUAGGACUUUAUUUUUCUUUUCUUUUUGUUGUAUGAACGUAGAGGCAUGGAUGAGGGGUUGUGCUGCCAAGUUUAGUGUUUCUGGGAUGUGUAGUUUUGUUGUUUUGUCCUAGGCCGAAAUUUCAUUACCUUUUUCUAUAUAGAGAUGAUUAGGAGUAUUGCGAAGAGGAGGCCGUUUCCACCUUCCGCUUUGACAAAUGGGAUUUGGGUCCGACUGCUGUAGAAAUCUGGCUCUUACAUGGCAGGAAACGGAGCAGGAGAUGUCAGUUGAUUUAUUUAUGAGAUUCUUCGAGGGACGGAGGCAUAGCAUGCAAAGGUCACCGGCGCGGCAGACCACAUGGGGCUCCAUCUGUGACCGGUGGCCUCAGGAUGUCCGAAUGUUAUUGUGA
rnacentral:lncRNA from 1 species